CCUACGGGUGGCAGCAGUGAGGAAUAUUGGUCAAUGGGCGAGAGCCUGAACCAGCCAAGCCGCGUGAAGGAUGAAGGAUCUAUGGUUUGUAAACUUCUUUUAUAUGGGAAUAAAGUGAGGAACGUGUUCCUUUUUGUAUGUACCAUAUGAAUACGCAUCGGCUAACUCCGUGCCAUCAGCCGCGGUAAUACGGAGGAUGCGAGCGUUAUCCGGAUUUAUUGGGUUUAAAGGGUGCGUAGGGGGUUAAUUAAGUCAGCGGUGAAAGUCUGUGGCUCAACCAUACAAUUGCCGUUGAAACUGGUUGACUUGAGUAUAUUUGAGGUAGGCGGAAUGCGAGGUGUAGCGGUGAAAUGCAUAGAUAUCACGCAGAACUCCGAUGGCGAAGGCAGCUUACUGGACUAUAACUGACGCUGAGGCACGAAAGCGUGGGGAUCAAACAGGAUUAGAUACCCGUGUAGUC
rnacentral:rRNA from 1 species